ensembl:snoRNA
CCGCAAGCCGUCCAGCAUGGCGGGGCCUGCCGUGGUCCCGGCCGUUCCUGCAGCGCUUGCCAGAGCAGCCGCGGGGUGGUUUGAGGCCUCCCCCUGCGCCCCCCUGGGGGAGGCUAUAGAAAUCCCAAACACGG